UCUGCUAUUGUAAAUUUUGAAGUUUGUAUAUAAAGGACGCCAAAAUAUCUGUACCUUCUCUAAAAUGCGCCAUGACUAAAAAAAAGUUGGGAACCACUGUUGUAGACAAAGGCAAGGUAUUUACUUCAACGUAGAAUUUUCUGUUUAUAUCGACAGACCUUACUCAGUAGGACGUUAGUCCAGAGCUGCUAUUCGCAGAGUCAAGACACGAAGCGAAGAGUGAGGUGUCAGCAAGUAUCGGUGCUGAAUUGUUAAUACGAGAUUGUCGAUGCAUGGCGACAUUGGCGACUAUUUCAAUGAUGGCGACACUAUCGACCAACGAAAAAUAGGCGCACAACUCGCACAAGCACGGAGAUUUCUAUGCAUACGCAGAUGUGGAGAAAUCCUCAUGGACACUCCGCUGUUGCUAAUAAUCGGCAACAGCAGAGUAGUGCCGGACUCUUACCGACUAAAACUGAACGAUGACCAUCCUACGCGUGUGACAGGAGUGCUUCGGGGACCUCUUACGAAUUAUCUUUCUGUUGUACCUCCCUCUCGCGUCCUCUCGAUCAAGCCAAUCCUAAAAAUUCCCUUAACUCUUGAAUUUGGCGCUAGGGGGGCCAUUGCUCCUAGCGCAAUCCCCCUUCUAGUCGCGGUCCAUUGGGACGGCGACUAAGCGGCUCUAGGCUGCCUGACCACCAUCCCCCUCCAUCCCGUUAUCCUACAAGGGUGAGAGUUUCUCUUUCUCGCCCUUUCUGCCCCCUCCUUCUACGAUCGCUGAGGGGGUAGAUCUCUCGCCUAUGACGUGACGCAGGGUGCAGCAGGACAGCUUCCACGCACAUUAGCAGGACAAAACUGACGUGGAGAAAUCCUCAUGGACACUCCGCUGUUGCUAAUAAUCGGCAACAGCAGAGUAGUGCCGGACUUUUACCGACUAAAACUGAACGAUGACCAUCCUACGUGUGUGACAGGAGUGCUUCGGGGACCUCUUACGAAUUAUCUUUCCGUUGUACCUCUCUCUCGCAUCCUCUUGAUCGAGCCAAUCCUAAAAAUUACCUUAACUCUUGAGUUUGGCGUUAGGGGGGCCAUUGCUCCUAGCGCAAUCCCUCUUCUAGUCGCGGUCCAUUGGGACGGCGACUAAGCGGCUCUAGGCUGCCUGACCACCAUCCCCCUCCAUCCCGUUAUCCUACAAGGGUGAGAGUUUCUCUUUCUCGCCCUUUCUGCCCCCUCCUUCUACGAUCGCCGAGGGGGUAGAUCUCUCGCCUAUGACGUGACGCAGGGUGCAGCAGGACAGCUUCCACGUCGGACAAAACUGGUGAGCGGGAGGCCGCGGCGUCAUAUCUAAACCUACGAUCCGUUUCAUAUAUUAUCUUUGUAUUCUAUCCAGUCUUUUUCCCAUGUUCCAGCCCUAUACCUUCUCAUCACUGACGUUUUUCAGUAGUAUGUACCCUAGGUAUCUUAUCUUGUCUACUUCUAAUUCUCGCUCUCCCCAUUUCCAUUUUCUUUGUCUCCUCUUGUUCUUUUUUUUUUGAUAACUACUAUCUUCAUCUACCUCAUCUUUAGUUCCAAUUCGGUUUCCUGUAAAAAAUUUUUUGAAUCUCAUUAGCAUUUCUUUAUGACAGAUGCGAAUGAGUUCGUUCUUUAGUUUCGCGUACCGGCCGGUGGCUGGCGGGCCCGUCAUAACACUCUCUACCUGCUGGAGGAGUUGGUCGUCGAGGUUCUUUGCAAGAGUCGCGAACCUCACCAAUUCUAGUGGAGAAUAUAGUGGAUCGGUAGAGGAACAAUAAUUUAGAAUGUGAGAAAUUGUUGCUACAACCCGUCAAAUAUAUUUAGUAUAAAUAGAAUAAAUGAGAUUAAAUAUAAAUAUCGUCGAGAAACGCUCGUACAAAUGUAUUUGCAAAGCUAGCAUAUGAAUGCUCGCGAAAAACUCGGUAACUAAUAACUCUGAUAAUGACUCGGAUAAUAACUCGUAGAUAAGCAAAAGCAAAAUUUGGGAAAUAUUACACUAAAAUUGAACAUAUUCAGUAUUCUAUUAAUGAGGAUGUAAGUGUUGUUAUUUCCAUAUUCAGAGAUAGGAUCACAAUAGUUAUUAUAAUAUUGUGUUAUUACACAACAAGGCAAACCAAACAGUAAUGUUGGAGGGUUGGAGGGUGAUAUACUUUUUCUUCUUGCGUGCAUAGUUUACUUUUCAAUAUACUAGCACUUGACGGUUAUUACAACUCUAUUGUUUCAUCAGUGUACAAACCUUUAAAGCUGAUGUGAGGAAUGGGGUACUAACCGCUAUACUUCCCAGUAGCUGUGCUCUUUUCAGCCCAUUUAAUACUUAUCGAAAUUACGCUGCUGUAUUUACACGAUCAAAUGGAAAUGGAAUUGCUUUCAUAAAUGCUUCAUCAAUAUAUGAACCUAGUUUUGGCUCUCGUCCACUUCGAAGUAGUUAUGACGUUGUUUCCAAUGGUAAUGUGACGUCUUAAAUGACUUUUGGAAAUCAUUUCUUGUAAUCUUAUCAAGUACCCGUUGCGACACCUUUUGUACCUUUUCCACAUUAUUGAAACGUCUCCAUCUGAUUUUUGAUUUCAUUUUAGUGCACAAAAGGAAAUCACAAGGAGCUUCUUCGAAUGCUUUUAAUGCAUUGCAAUAUUCUUCGAUGGUAGACCACUCAUGACUGUUUAUUGUGUCAGGCAUUCGCUGUUCCCGUGAAACUGUAUUCAAGGCUUGUCACACGUCAGUAAGCGAUACAUCAUAUGUCGCUAAGAAUUCCAUCAAGGAUCCACAUCUCGAAUUAAUUUUAGAGGCGUGCGAUGAGGAUAAUAUAGUAUUUGGUGCGCCUUUAAUUUUUUUCGGUGGAUAUAGACCGAUGGAAAAAUGGAACAAUCGCUCUGCGUUUCUUUAAAAUUCCCAUUAACCUUGCCGAAUGAUUUGCCGCACAUUUUAUUACCAAUUGAAAAUAACUUGUUACAUUCGAAUGUGAAAUGUCCAUAUUAUUUAUUUCGAUAUGUAAUUAUUUCUUAUCGUUCGUUCACCUGCAAAUGUGAGCGAAAGAAGCAAUAGGUUUGCGUUAUAAAAUAACGGCGUUCUCUUCAUUCCUCGAAUGUAUAAAUAAUUACUUCUGAUAUAGUAAUUAAUUCUAAUCCUCUUAUGUAAAUAUCUGAGCACCUAGGAAUUAAUUCCCAUUGCAUAAACAUCUACUUGUUUAAAGAGCUUUCAGAAUCUCUUAAAUUUUGCAGCCCUUUCUAAUAUUUCUCGCGCCGUAUAUCUCAAAGUAUCGACCUAAUUUCCAAAUUAGAGGCGUAAUUAUUAAUAAUUUAAAAUGUUUUAUAUUUUUCAUGCUUAAGAUGUCGUCUUACAUCGUUGAUUGAUUUUAUCUCAAUAUGUUGUGCUUUUCCGUUUGUAUAAUAUUUAGAACCAGAAAUUCGAACUAACCUGAUAAUCCUAAAUCGCAUACACAACAAAUACCAUCAGCUUUGAUUAAUUAAUUAAUGUCUCUCUGUGCAAUGCACGGCUUAAAUUUAUCUGUAAAUUUCAUUAAUUUUUUAUGAAUAUUUCAUCAAUUUGAGGUGGACGACAUGUACGGUGUGGCGAACUUCUUCAGGUUCCGGUAAAACUGGGACGGCGCCCUAUCUCCCACGUGUUCGCCAUCUAGUAGCUUUAGCACUCUGAUGGAGUCCCAGUCAGCCAGUCUUUUAAUGAGUUUCUUUUUCAGAUGUUCGUACCUGCCCCGUCUUCGGCGGGUCGAACAGUACGUUCCGGACUGGGUCUAUAUACCGUUCGGUAAGAUUCGCGACGGUGGUGUAGAAUUUUUCCUUGUCGCUUGUAAUGUGGGCAUUUAGAUCUGAUUAUUAUUUGAUAAUUUGACAGAUGUAAUUCCAGCAUCAAGAACCACAGCAUUACAUCGUGCGGCCAAAACGGCGGUAUACGGAGCGAUGUACUCACCGCGUCUACGUUGUCGCUCGUGUUCGUCACGUGCUCAGUUCCGUUGGUGCUAGUCAUUUCGAAGAUUGUUGAUUCGUGAAAACACAUUUUACAAAAUGUGGUCCAAUCAAUUACAUGCGUUUCUAAAAAAUCCGUUAAAAUACCGCAUGCUGCAGAACUAAAUACUGAAAGAUAUUCACUAUUAUCUCCCAUACUGUUUUUUCAUCAACACCUAAAUGAAGAUUACGUAUAUUUUUCAAUGUUAUGCUUAAAUAAGUAAUACAAUAUCACUCAGGAAUAAAACAGAAUAUCAACCAUAAUAACAUAGAAGAAAUGGGUAUUCCAUAAAGAGAAGACAGAAAGUAUCUCGUUCCUAUUGGAUAAUUACGAUAAUGGAAGGAAAUAUUUUUACAGCAACAUCUUGAUCUCCCAUGCCGCUUUGCCAUACCGGUCCAUAGCGCCCUUGUUCUGAAAUUAUACAAUGUAUUAUGGCCAAAAAUAUUUAGUUUUGUUGUAAAUCCAAUGGUUUAAUUAACAAAGAACAUACCUACAAUUAUCGUAAGUUUCAAAUAAUCUUUUAUAUUAGUACCAGCUCUUAGCCCCGUGCUAUCCAUAAACUGAACUAUAUAGGAAAGUGGUUUUCCUAAUGUUGCUAACAUGUUAGUAUGAUAUACAGGAUAUACCAUUAUAGUUACAAUAUAUAUUACUAAUAAUGUGCAUAGUAGAACACUUGUUAUGAUAACAAUCCAUUUCUCAGAAUUUCCAAAUACUCCAAAAAUUCCAAAUGUUCAGUUGCUACAAGAUUUCAUAAAAGACAUUAUAAUGAAAUUAUAAAUUAAUACAGAUCAUUCUCUGUAUCAUUGAAAUUUACUUGGUUGAUUAUCUUUUGCAGAAAUACAAUUAUGCGCAUUAUUCUCAGAGUAUAAGAUAUUAAUAAUUUUGAUAUUAAGAUUACAUCCAUGACAGCAACAAAAUUUUUUAUUGUUCAGUGCCUUAGUAGAAAUUGUUGGUUUGAUGCCCCGUUCCAAUUCUUUCAGUUUAUUUGGGGUUCGGUUCGGCGGUCUAUGUAUAAACUUGUAGCAUUUAAAACUAUUGUAGUGUCUCGCGUUUAAUUUGAUCCCACAAAGAAAGACCACAUCUGGGUUAUAUUAUUCUUCCUUACUUAUCAUAUUUGCCUCGUUAUCUUCAUAUUCUCCUUGCCUUUCAUUACCUCCACCCCUCUCUUUCGU